CGAACGCUGGAGGCGUGCUUAACACAUGCAAGUCGAACGAUGAAAUGGAGCUUGCUCCAUGGAUUAGUGGCGAACGGGUGAGUAACACGUGAAUAACCUGCCCUUAAUUUUGGAAUAACCCAGGGAAACCUGGGCUAAUACCGGAUAAGUAAACCUGUGGCAUCACAUGGUUUUGGAAAGUUUUUCGAUUAAGGAUGGAUUCGCGGCCUAUCAGCUUGUUGGUGAGGUAAUGGCUCACCAAGGCGACGACGGGUAGCCGGCCUGAGAGGGUGAACGGCCACACUGGGACUGAGACACGGCCCAGACUCCUACGGGAGGCAGCAGUGGGGAAUCUUGCGCAAUGGGCGAAAGCCUGACGCAGCAACGCCGCGUGCGGGAAGAAGGCUUUCGGGCUGUAAACCGCUUUCAGCAGGAACGAAAAUGACGGUACCUGCAGAAGAAGGAGCGGCCAACUAUGUGCCAGCAG
rnacentral:rRNA from 1 species